rnacentral:misc_RNA from 1 species
GAAAUGCGAUAAGUAAUGUGAAUUGCAGAAUUCAGUGAAUCAUCGAAUCUUUGAACGCACAUUGCGCCCGCCAGUAUUCUGGCGGGCAUGCCUGUUCGAGCGUCAUUUCAACCCUCAAGCCCUGCUUGGUGUUGGGGCCCCACGGCAGCCGUGGGCCCCGAAAGGAAGUGGCGGGCUCGCCGCGACUCCGAGCGUAGUAGAAAUAGACCUCGCUAGGGAGGCUGCGGCGGCGCUCCGGCCGUUAAAGACCCCAUCUUUAACCCAAGGUUGACCUCGGAUCAGGUAGGAAUACCCGCUGAACUUAA